rnacentral:rRNA from 1 species
UACGGAGGGUGCAAGCGUUAUCCGGAUUCACUGGGUUUAAAGGGUGCGUAGGAGGGUUGGUAAGUCAGCGGUGAAAUCUCCGAGCUUAACUUGGAAACUGCCGUUGAUACUAUCAAUCUUGAAUAUCGUGGAGGUGAGCGGAAUAUGUCAUGUAGCGGUGAAAUGCUUAGAUAUGACCCGGAACACCUAUUGCGAAGGCAGCAGGCUAAACAAAUAUUGACGCUGAGGCUCGAAAGCGUGGGGAUCAAACAGG